GUAUAUAAAGGUAUUUUUUUUAGUGAUAUCGUAAGUUAAACUCUUAAGUGCAAUAAGUCAAACAUGCGUUUGGAAAGCUUUAUGUAUAAAGGGUUGGUUGCAGUUUACUGUUAAAUAAUAUGGUGAAGUGAACUCAAGCUCUACAAUUCAAUACCGGAGCGCUGGUUGCGACCGCGUCAGAGAUCAUGUUACUUAAACCGCAAAACCGUCAACUGACUCUUUAAACAUCUAUUGUCUUGAGCGUUCUAUUUCAUAGAAUGUCAGAGAAUUGUGAGAAAAAAACAAUAAUGAACAGGAAAUUAAAGUUUACAAACGUUGAAAGAGAUACGCAGAUGUUGGAAUAAAUAAAUGUUUUAGCAACAUUAGCAUUCAAUCUCAUUGGACGUUCAUUGUCGUUGCAGUGUUUUUUAUUUGAUUUAUCUUUUAUAAUAUUUACGUGUAUAAAUAAACCGUUUGUUAUAAAAAUGGCACACCCUUUACUAGUAAUUGUGACUGGCGCAGUAAUAGCAGCGAUCUUUCUCGGCGUGAGAUAUGCGUUUAACCUCGAAGAUAAUCCUGAUGAAGAAUUGGUCACCGUUAUAAAUGAUAGCUGAAGCUUUAAACUCAUAAACGCCAUAAAUAUCUUCACUGUACCAUGUAAAUAACAAAUGUAGGUUUAUUUUUAUUUUAUAUUUACACCAGACCAGAACAGAAGAAGGAAAUGAGACACAUUUUAAAAUACAAAGACUUAUGUUCUGCCUGCUAGUUGCCUAUAUAUAGAAUAUUUGUCAAAUCCAUUUCUCUUCUAUCUAUCCUUUCCUUAUAAGAUAAAGGUGGAAAUGGUAAGAGGACUAAUAGUAGUCCUCCGCAACGUACACGCAUCACACGAAACGAGUGCUGACACUUCACCCCUAUCUUCUAUGUGGUCGUAGUAUUUCACUACGUCAGCCGGCCCAUUUGUGCAACAGAUGUUUUUGCCUUGAACAAGUGCUCACAGAAGUAUUCUUGUGUUUCUUUUGUUUACAUACAUAAGAACGCUUUGUCCUCGGUUGUAGACUGGACAUGGGCGAUAGGAAAAGCAUAUCGACAGUCGACAUUAUUUAUAUAAGCAUGUAUAAACAAAAUAAGUUAUUAAUUCCCAAUAAAGUGUUUUAGGGAGUUCUAAUAUGUAAUUAACAGAGCAGUGGUUAAAGUUAAUAUUAAAAGAAAAGGUAUUUGAUAUUGUUACUUAUAAUGUAUAAAUUUAUUAUUUUAUUAACAAUUAUGCGUGCGGAUUUGAAUGUGAUAUUGCAGUAUUUUAAGUAUUUAUUUUAAGAAGAUUUUUUUCAUAGUGUCUGUGCCAAAUGAAAUCAUAUUAAAUGAAUAUUAAAACAUGUGGUUACAAUGUUGUAUUUUUAUUAAAAUUAUAAUAACAUUCUUGUAGUGUUUUUUCAGAGUAUAAUUUAAAAGAAGUAAUAAUCGUGGCAUAGCGUGCUUGCUCGUUUUACAGAUAAAAGCAAGCGCAAGCGGAGGUAGAAUCGUUGAUGUUUCAAAGUGAGUUUCUACUGUAAGAACAACUGUUCAAAACCAUAUUGGCUCAAUUGUUUCAAAGGUUAUGAGAGGGACAAAACUAUUUUUUACAGUUGGUAGUGAAAACUGAUUGUAACAUGGUACGUCGUAACGUAUCAGCAAAUUAAAACUUAGCCUACAUUAGAGAGGAC